rnacentral:rRNA from 1 species
GACGAACGCUGGCGGCGUGCUUAACACAUGCAAGUCGAACGGUGAAGCGCUUUCCUUUUUGGUUGGUGUGGAUGAGUGGCGAACGGGUGAGUAACACGUGAGUAACCUGCCCCCUUCUUCUGGAUAACCGCAUGAAAGUGUGGCUAAUACGGGAUAUUCUGCGCCUGCUGCAUGGUGGGUGUGGGAAAGAUUGUGCCUUUGGGUGUUUUCGGUGGGGGAUGGGCUCGCGGCCUAUCAGCUUGUUGGUGGGGUGAUGGCCUACCAAGGCGGUGACGGGUAGCCGGGCUGAGAGGGGGGACGGUCACACUGGGACUGAGACACGGCCCAGACGCCUACGGGAGGCAGCAGUGGGGAAUAUUGCACAAUGGGCGCAAGCCUGAUGCAGCGACGCCGCGUGAGGGAUGGAGGCCUUCGGGUUGUGAACCUCUUUCGCCAGUGAAGCAGGCCUGCUCCUUGUGGGUGGGUUGACGGUAGCUGGAUAAGAAGCGCCGGCUAACUACGUG